AUAGCAGAGAUGCAAAGACUGUAGAGUCCACAUAGUCCACUCUUCUAAGAAUGUAGUCACUACCAGUCUCCUUUGUGGCCUGUCUUCUCAGCCCAUCCACCAAGAACUUUUCUAGAGAAGUUCUUCUUGCACAGCUACUCCAGUUACCCUGAUCUGCACAAUAAUUGCAAUGAUAAACUGAUGUUAAAAGCACAGUGGAGAGAGUUAUUAAUCCCAUUUGGACUCAAGGAUAAAGAAGAAUGCUCAGAGAAAGAUACAGAGAAGUCAGGCCUUGAAGGAUGACGAUUAGGCAUUAACUAAACAGAGAAGACAGGCAAAGAUAUUACAAUCACCUAGGAAGACACGGGUGUAUGAAAAAGUGAGCUCCUUCCCUUGCCCAUGUAGCUGUAGAUGUCCUGGCACAGAGUUGUCAUUCCUAAAUGCUGUUCCACAACAUGGAAUAGAGCCAGUUGCCUCAGAUCACCUGAGAAGACUACUAAAAUCCCUGAGCCUCUCCCCUGGAGAUUUCAAUUCAACUAGUCCAGGA
rnacentral:lncRNA from 1 species